ACUCAAAUGAAUUGACGGGGACCCGCACAAGCAGCGGAGCAUGUGGAUUAAUUCGACGCAACGCGAAGAACCUUACCUGGGCUUGACAUACUGCUGACCUCCAUGGAAACAUGGACUUCCUUCGGGACAGCAAUACAGGUGGUGCAUGGCUGUCGUCAGCUCGUGUCGUGAGAUGUUGGGUUGAGUCCCGCAACGAGCGCAACCCCCGUCCUAUGUUGCCAGCAUUCAGUUGGGGACUCAUAGGAGACUGCCGGUGACAAACCGGAGGAAGGUGGGGAUGACGUCAAGUCAUCAUGCCCCUUAUGUCCAGGGCUUCACACGUGCUACAUUGGCGCAUACAGAGGGCUGCGAUACCGCAAGGUGGAGCGAAUCCCAAAAAGUGCGUCUCGGUUCGGAUUGGGGGCUGAAACUCGCCCCCAUGAAGGCGGAGUUGCUAGUAAUCCCAGAUCAGCAAUGCUGGGGUGAAUACGUUCCCGGGUCUUGUACACACCGCCCGU
rnacentral:rRNA from 1 species